GACGAACGCUGGCGGCGCGCUUAACACAUGCAAGUCGAACGGAAAGGCCUGCUUUCCCUUGUGGAUUGCGGGUACUCGAGUGGCGAACGGGUGAGUAACACGUGAGUGAUCUGCCCCCAACUUGGGUAUAAGCCUGGGAAACUGGGUCUAAUUCCCGAUAGGACUGCAGGGUGGUGCCUGUGGUGGAAAACGAUUUUCUAGUGGUUGGGGAUGAGCUCGCGGCCUAUCAGCUUGUUGGUGGGGUAAUGGCCUACCAAGGCGGCGACGGGUAGCCGGCCUGAGAGGGUGGACGGCCACAUUGGGACUGAGAUACGGCCCAGACUCCUACGGGAGGCAGCAGUGGGGAAUAUUGCACAAUGGGCGGAAGCCUGAUGCAGCGACGCCGCGUGGGGGAUGACGGCCUUCGGAUUGUAAACUCCUUUCGACCGCGAGGAAGCCACCUGGUUGGAAGGGUGGUGACGGUAGUGGUAGAAGAAGCACCGGCUAACUACGUG
rnacentral:rRNA from 1 species